rnacentral:rRNA from 1 species
CUGAAUAAUGGGAAAGAGUGUGCCCUUUUAACUCAUAUGGGUAAAGAUGCUGCUUCAACCCAUAAGUUCUUGGUUUGUUGUUAUGAGAUUUUUAAAAACAUCAUGACUCAUAUCGAUAAGGUGUUUGUGAAAGCAUCCAAAACGAUUGCAGAUGCAAGGUGAAGGCUCAAAGUUACAAUUGAUUCCAUUCGGUAA